rnacentral:rRNA from 1 species
UGAAUACGAGACGCUAAGGCGUCGAAGUAGUGUAUGUCAUACUUCCAAGAAAAGCUUGCACUGUCAUAGAUAAAAAACGCCUGUACCAUAACCGACACAGGUGGGUAGGUAGAGUAUACUAAGGGGCGCGAGAUAACUCUCUCUAAGGAACUCGGCAAAAUAACUCCGUAACUUCGGGAGAAGGAGUGCCUUAUUAUUAAGGCUGCAAUAACAAGAUCCAAGCAACUGUUUAUCAAAAACACAGGUCUCCGCUAAGUCGUAAGACGAUGUAUGGGGGCUGACGCCUGCCCAGUGCCAGAAGGUUAAAGAAGUUGGUUAGCAUUUGCGAAGCUGAUAACUGAAGCCCUGGUGAACGGCGGCCGUAACAAUAACGGUCCUAAGGUAGCGAAAUUCCUUGUCGGGUAAGUUCCGACCCGCACGAAAGGCGUAAUGAUUUGGAUACUGUCUCGGAGAGGGGCUCGGUGAAAUAGACUUGUCUGUGAAGAUGCGGACUACCUGCACCAGGACAGAAAGACCCUAUGAAGCUUUACUGUAACUUGAAAUUGAAAUUGGACUUUAUUCGCGCAGCAUAGGUGGGAGGCGUUGAUUAUAAUCUUGUGGGAUUAUUGGAGCCAUCAGUGAGAUACCACUCUUGUAAUGUUAGAUUUCUAACUUUGAAUCAUUAUCUGGUCAAAGAACAGUUUCAGGCGGGCAGUUUGACUGGGGCGGUCGCCUCCUAAACGGUAACGGAGGCGUACAAAGGUUUCCUCUGAACGGUUAGAAAUCGUAUCUAGAGUGUAAAGGCAUAAGGAAGCUUGACUGUGAGACCUACAAGUCGAGCAGGGACGAAAGUCGGUCUUAGUGAUCUGACGGUACUGAGUGGAAAGGCCGUCACUCAACGGAUAAAAGUUACUCUAGGAUAACAGGCUGAUCUCCCCCAAGAGUUCACAUCGACGGGGAGGUUUGGCACCUCGAUGUCGGCUCAUCGCAUCCUGGGGCGGUAGUACGUCCCAAGGGUUGGGCUGUUCGCCCAUGAAAGCGGUACGCGAGCUGGGUUCAGAACGUCGUGAGACAGUUCGGUCCAUAUCCGGUGUGGGCGUUAGAAUAUUGAGAGGAGCCUUCUUUAGUACGAGAGGACCGAGAAGGACAUACCUCUGGUGUACUAGUUAUCGUGCCAACGGUAAACGCUGGGUAGCUAUGUAUGGAGUGGAUAACCGCUGAAAGCAUCUAAGUGGGAAGCCCACCUCAAGAUAAGUAUUCUCAC